rnacentral:rRNA from 1 species
UACAGAGACUGCAAGCGUUUAUUCGGAUUCAACUGGGCGUAAAGGGUGCGCAGGCGGUCGGGUGUGUCAGAUGUGAAAUCCCGAGGCUCAACCUCGGAACUGCGUCUGAAACUACUCGACUAGAGUACUGGAGAGGGUAACGGAAUUCACGGUGUAGCAGUGAAAUGCGUAGAUAUCGUGAGGAACACCAGAGGCGAAGGCGGUUACCUGGACAGUUACUGACGCUCAGGCACGAAAGCAUGGGGGAGCAAAAAGGG